GUACUCUAUAAACUUGUACAAAUACUUUUAGUUUCGUUUGUUGAUUUAUUUAUGUAGUCAUUAACUAAUUUUAUGUUUACUUGUAGGGAGAAGUAUGCAGGUACAAAUCAAUUCCACACACCCCAACAUUUAUACUCUGAGCUCAUUUGCAAUUUCUGUCUCUUUAUUGGCUUUUAAAAUGAAGAAAACUCAAUAAGAAAUAUACAAGAGACAUCAGCCAAAACAACACAACAUUAUUAAGAACACAAAAAUCAACAACUUGUAGGGUGACCUUGAGUGUCCUGAGAGGCACCCUUAAAUAAAAUGUAUUAUUAUUAUUAUUAUUAUUAUUAUUAUUAUUAUUAUUAAUAUACAAGCCCUAACCCUAACCCUAACCCAUACAAUCAAAACCUAAACUGAACAAACACUAUUUUAGCAUUAAAAUGAGGAUUUCAUAACAUUUCAACUUUGUGGGGCAGCUUGUGAUACUCACUGACAUCAAGGAACAUGCCUCAUGUUUCUAUUGGUUGGUAUAAUCGGCCAAUCAGAUAGGGUGGCCUGUCUGGAGUCCCAACAUUUUUUUAGGGGGCAUUUAGCUGGCUGACAAGAGGUCUGCGAUAGAUAACAUUUUACACAUCUCCUUCACAGUGUUUGUGCUCCAAAACUCACACCUAGUUCAGGAGUUUAAGAAAUUCCGUCGUCCUUCCUCCCUGCAAGUCAUAAAAUGACAACAUGUUCCAGGCAAAGGAAACGCCAUGCUUCUCAGCCAAUAAUGAACGAGGGUGGGUGGGUUGCACAAAGCAUCUGUUAGCCAUUAGCAUCUGUCCAUUCAAACCAGCAGCACCCAAAUAAAGCUCUGCUUUCUGAACAGGUUAGAGUGUUAGAAAGUGGAGACACUUAUGCAUUGCAGUGUUAGGAGUCCUGUGUGUGCAUGCCAACAUAUCUGACACUUUCCAUAGAAGCUUCAGGUCAAGCUUAAAUCAAGUCAUGUGGUUGACUGAGCAGAAAUGUCCUCUUCAUAUUUGUACUGUUUCACCUGUCCGAACAUGUGUUCCUGGGAACACGGUGUGAAUAACCUUUAGACACACUAGCAGACCAGUAAACAAGUUGCUGGUCCGGAUUCAACCAGCCUGCAGUGACCUCACAGACAGCCCCCUGAAGAUGAAUCUGAGCCGUCACCACUCCGCUGUCCGGCUAUCGGAAUACCAUGAAGGUUGAGUCAGUGCUGUGAAGCAGCAUAUCUCCAUUACACAAUAAAUACAGAACAUUACACUAAAAAUAAAGUCAGGCCCUGCGUCACUUAAAGCAGAUGCCAAGAUAUUCUCACUUUUUGCCCUUUAAUGAGAUUGUGAAGACCACACUUCUUUGAUGCAUCUCAACAGUGUCUGCCAUUAGAUGAUUCUUUCAGCCUGUUCAACACUGACUUACAAUCUCUACACUCCUCCUGUUUGCAACGCUAGACCCUCUGAUACAUUUUCAAAGCAGAGAGGGCCACCAUGGUAAGUCAAAUUUCCUGACUUUAUUAUAGAGGUGGAGUGUAAAUUUAAUGAGUAACGCUUUUAAUGCUGCCAUCUUGUGUUCAGAAAUAUAACAAAGCCCUAGAAUAAAGCGCUGCUCUUUAACUGUUUUGGUGCAUUUGAAAACUUAUUUUAUAUCUUUAUUUUAGGGUACAAAAUUAUACCUUUAGGCUUGAAAUCUGUUUCGAUAGGACUUUUAAUUUUUUAAACUUUCUCAGUUCUCAAAAUUACUUACUGUUCUUAUGUAAUUCAGAAACAAAUAAAAGUUCAAAAUCAUUUAACAUCAUUUCUAAAUGACCUGUCCGCAUGGGGUCGAAAUAGUAAUUAAACUGUCAUAAGUAAAAAAUAUAUUUUGCUUACAUAAAAGUAUAGUCUUAUUUUUGGUCAGUGAUUUAGUUAGCCUCUUUUCUUGGAAAUAGUGAUGAUAUUUAUUAUCCUAGAAAGACUAAAACUAAAAUGUUGUUAACCAAAGCAUUAUUGUAUAGCCUUUGGGUGGCAGUUUAAGUGUCCCUGAGCCUCAAAAGGUCAGAAUCAAGCUAUAAAGGAAAUCAAAGAAGAGGCCGAGCCCUAUGUGCAGAUUUUCACAGAUGGAUCCUAAAAUCCUGAUGAUGGGAUGAAGUUGUACAUUUUAUGUCCCAGAACUGAAAGUGAAGAUAACCAGGAGAGCAACAGACCACACAUGCAGUUCAAAUGCUGGCAGUAGCCUUACAUGAUAGAGGAAACCCAUGUAGAUAUUAUUAUGUUCAGACUCAAGUGCAGAAUGAUUAGUAUUCAUCAUCAAACCGUAGACAAGAUAUUCUAUAUGACAUUUGGAUUACUUUUGUACAGAAGCAUCAGAUUAGAAAUAGAUGUUAAGUUUGUGUACCACAUCAUGUAGACGUUCAAGGGAAUGAGACAGUAGAUCACCUCGCUAAAAAUGGGUUUAAAGCAAAUCCAAAUUCCAAUACGGAAGGCAGAAACAUAAUAAUGUAUAUGUUAAUCAAGAAGCAGUGGGAGGUUUUCUGGGACACAGAUACUAAGGGAAGACAUAUAAGAUUCAGCAGAAAGUCGGAGAGAGGGAAGAUCACAGGAGAAAAACAGAACGGACAGCAGGAUAAGACUAUGACAUACCUAUUACAUUAAACUCAUCUCAAAAUCUCAUCUGGAAUCAUCCAAGUCCAACAUCUAACGGAAACUUGCAACUUCCGCAAUCAAAUGGAAACUGGGGAGAUGUCUGCUCCAAUUACACAAAUGAAAAAUAUAAAGGACUUACAAAUAGUUCUUGGGUAAUUAAAAUAUAUCUUCACCUUUCUACAUAGCCUAAUUUUGGACUGACAACAAGAGUAGGUUAUAAACAAUGAAGGAACAGUAAAGGUAUAUGGAACAAUCUCAACAGAGAAACUAAAGAAUCAAAAUCAAACAUGAUAUUUAAAAGAAAAAUGAAAGCCAGUUUGUUGAAUAUGUGGAAAUAUGUCAG